rnacentral:rRNA from 1 species
AUUGAACGCUGGCGGAAUGCUUUACACAUGCAAGUCGAACGGCAGCACGGACUUCGGUCUGGUGGCGAGUGGCGAACGGGUGAGUAAUACAUCGGAACGUGCCCAGUCGUGGGGGAUAACGUAGCGAAAGCUACGCUAAUACCGCAUACGAUCUACGGAUGAAAGCGGGGGAUCGCAAGACCUCGCGCGAUUGGAGCGGCCGAUGGCAGAUUAGGUAGUUGGUAGGGUAAAGGCCUACCAAGCCGACGAUCUGUAGCUGGUCUGAGAGGAUGAUCAGCCACACUGGGACUGAGACACGGCCCAGACUCCUACGGGAGGCAGCAGUGGGGAAUUUUGGACGAUGGACGCAAGUCUGAUCCAGCCAUUCCGCGUGCAGGAUGAAGGCCCUCGGGUUGUAAACUGCUUUUGUACAGAACGAAAAGGCUCUGGUUAAUACCUGGGGCUCAUGACGGUACUGUAAGAAUAAGCACCGGCUAACUACGUGCCAGCCGCCGCCGUAA